AUUGAACGCUGGCGGCAGUCCUAACACAUGCAAGUCGAGCGGAUGAAGGGAGCUUGCUCCUGGAUUCAGCGGCGGACGGGUGAGUAAUGCCUAGGAAUCUGCCUGGUAGUGGGGGAUAACGUCCGGAAACGGGCGCUAAUACCGCAUACGUCCUGAGGGAGAAAGUGGGGGAUCUUCGGACCUCACGCUGUCAGAUGAGCCUAGGUCGGAUUAGCUAGUUGGUGGGGUAAAGGCCUACCAAGGCGACGAUCCGUAACUGGUCUGAGAGGAUGAUCAGUCACACUGGAACUGAGACACGGUCCAGACUCCUACGGGAGGCAGCAGUGGGGAAUAUUGGACAAUGGGCGAAAGCCUGAUCCAGCCAUGCCGCGUGUGUGAAGAAGGUCUUCGGAUUGUAAAGCACUUUAAGUUGGGAGGAAGGGCAGUAAGUUAAUACCUUGCUGUUUUGACGUUACCAACAGAAUAAGCACCGGCUAACUUCGUG
rnacentral:rRNA from 1 species